rnacentral:rRNA from 1 species
GGAUGAUCAGCCACACUGGGACUGAGACACGCCCCAGACUCCCACGGGAGGCAGCAGUGGGGAAUAUUGCAUAAUGGGCGCAAGCCUGAUGCAGCAAUGCCGCGUGUGUGAAGAAGGCCUGCGGGUUGUAAAGCACUUUUAUUAGGAAAGAAAAACCCAGAGCUAAUACCUCCGGCAUUGACGGUACCUAAAGAAUAAGCACCGGCUAACUCAGUGCCAGCAGCCGCGGUAAUACUGAGGGUGCAAGCGUUAAUCGGAAUUACUGGGCGUAAAGCGAGUGUAGGCGGCUACCUAAGUCGGAUGUGAAAUCCCCGGGCUCAACCUGGGAAUGGCAUUCGAUACUGGGUAGCUAGAGUUUGGUAGAGGUAAGUGGAAUUCCGGGUGUAGCGGUGAAAUGCGUAGAUAUCCGGAGGAACAUCAGUGGCGAAGGCGGCUUACUGGACCAAAACUGACGCUGAGGCUCGAAAGCGUGGGGAGCAAACAGGAUUAGAUACCCUGGUAGUCCACGCCCUAAACGAUGUCAACUAGACGUUGGGUUCAUUAAGGAACUUAGUGUCGUAGCUAACGCGUUAAGUUGACCGCCUGGGGAGUACGGCCGCAAGGUUGAAACUCAAAGGAAUUGACGGGGGCCCGCACAAGCGGUGGAGCAUGUGGUUUAAUUCGAUGCAACGCGAAGAACCUUACCAGCCCUUGACAUCCUGGGAACUUACUAGAGAUAGUUUGGUGCCUUCGGGAAUCCAGUGACAGGUGCUGCAUGGCUGUCGUCAGCUCGUGUCGUGAGAUGUUGGGUUAAGUCCCGCAACGAGCGCAACCCUUAUCCUUAGUUGCCAGCACGUUAUGGUGGGAACUCUAAGGAGACUGCCGGUGAUAAACCGGAGGAAGGUGGGGAUGACGUCGAGUCAUCAUGGCCCUUAUGGGCUGGGCUACACACGUGCUACAAUGGUCGGUACAGAGGGCCGCGAUCCCGCGAGGGGGAGCCAAUCCCAGAAAGCCGAUCUUAGUCCGGAUCGCAGUCUGCAACUCGACUGCGUGAAGUCGGAAUCGCUAGUAAUCGCGAAUCAGCAAUGUCGCGGUGAAUACGUUCCCGGGCCUUGUACACACCGCCCGUCACACCAUGGGAGUGGGUUGCACCAGAAGUAGCUAGCUUAACCUUCGGGAGAGCGGUUACCACGGUGUGAUUCAUGACUGGGGUGGAGUCGAAACAAGGUA